UACAGAGGUGGCAAGCGUUGUUCGGAAUUACUGGGCGUAAAGGGCGCGUAGGCGGUUCGAUAAGUCCCGUGUGAAAGCCCCCGGCUCAACUGGGGAACUGCACGGGAAACUGACGGACUUGAGUUCGGGAGAGGGAAGCGGAAUUCCGGGUGUAGCGGUGGAAAUGCGUAGAUAUCCGGAGGAACACCGGUGGCGAAGGCGGACGUU
rnacentral:rRNA from 1 species